ACUCUCCAGAUUCCUUACCCCUCAGAUAUAAAUAUUGGCCUGAGUGGCUAAAAAGGAGGAAAAGUAAAACAGAAGUGGACUUGGAGUCUUUAAUAACAUAAAAGUUGGAGUCUUUAAUAACAUAC
rnacentral:snoRNA from 1 species